UGUCGAUGAAGAGCGCAGCAAACUGUGUGAAUUAAUGUGAACUGCACCUGCCAUGAACAUCGACAACUUGAUUGCACAUUGCGGCCAUGGGUUAGCCUGUGGCCACGCCUGUCCGAGAGUC
rnacentral:rRNA from 1 species